GAUGAAGAACGUAGCGAAAUGCGAUAAGUAAUGUGAAUUGCAGAAUUCAGUGAAUCAUCGAAUCUUUGAACGCACCUUGCACCCUUUGGCAUUCUGAAGGGUAUGCCUGUUCGAGCGUCAUUUGUACCCUCAAGCUUUGCUUGGUGUUGGGCGUCUUGUCUCUAGCUUUGCUGGAGACUCGCCUUAAAGUAAUUGGCAGCCGGCCUACUGGUUUCGGAGCGCAGCACAAGUCGCACUCUCUAUCAGCAAAGGUCUAGCAUCCAUUAAGCCUUUUUUUCAACUUUUGACCUCGGAUCAGGUAGGGAUACCCGCUGAACUUAAGCAUAUCAAUAAGCGGAGGA
rnacentral:misc_RNA from 1 species